AGACCCGAAACCCGGUGAUCUAGCCAUGGGCAGGUUGAAGGUUGGGUAACACUAACUGGAGGACCGAACCGACUAAUGUUGAAAAAUUAGCGGAUGACCUGUGGCUGGGGGUGAAAGGCCAAUCAAACCGGGAGAUAGCUGGUUCUCCCCGAAAGCUAUUUAGGUAGCGCCUCGUGAAUUCAUCUCCGGGGGUAGAGCACUGUUUCGGCUAGGGGGCCAUCCCGGCUUACCAACCCGAUGCAAACUGCGAAUACCGGAGAAUGUUAUCACGGGAGACACACGGCGGGUGCUAACGUCCGUCGUGAAGAGGGAAACAACCCAGACCGCCAGCUAAGGUCCCAAAGUCAUGGUUAAGUGGGAAACGAUGUGGGAAGGCCCAGACAGCCAGGAUGUUGGCUUAGAAGCAGCCAUCAUUUAAAGAAAGCGUAAUAGCUCACUGGUCGAGUCGGCCUGCGCGGAAGAUGUAACGGGGCUAAACCAUGCACCGAAGCUGCGGCAGCGACGCUGAUGCGUUGUUGGGUAGGGGAGCGUUCUGUAAGCCUGCGAAGGUGGCCUGUGAGGGUUGCUGGAGGUAUCAGAAGUGCGAAUGCUGACAUAAGUAACGAUAAAGCGGGUGAAAAGCCCGCUCGCCGGAAGACCAAGGGUUCCUGUCCAACGUUAAUCGGGGCAGGGUGAGUCGACCCCUAAGGCGAGGCCGAAAGGCGUAGUCGAUGGGAAACGGGUUAAUAUUCCCGUACUUGGUGUUACUGCGAAGGGGGGACGGAGAAGGCUAUGUUGGCCGGGCGACGGUUGUCCCGGUUUAAGCGUGUAGGUGUGUGUUCCAGGUAAAUCCGGUUCACUUUAACACUGAGGCGUGAUGACGAGGCACUACGGUGCUGAAGCAACAAAUGCCCUGCUUCCAGGAAAAGCCUCUAAGCAUCAGGUAACAUCAAAUCGUACCCCAAACCGACACAGGUG
rnacentral:rRNA from 1 species